rnacentral:rRNA from 1 species
GGUUAAGCGACUAAGCGUACACGGUGGAUGCCCUGGCAGUCAGAGGCGAUGAAGGACGUGCUAAUCUGCGAAAAGCGUCGGUAAGGUGAUAUGAACCGUUAUAACCGGCGAUGUCCGAAUGGGGAAACCCAGUGCAAUUCGUUGCACUAUCGUUAACUGAAUACAUAGGUUAACGAGGCGAACCGGGGGAACUGAAACAUCUAAGUACCCCGAGGAAAAGAAAUCAACCGAGAUUCCCCCAGUAGCGGCGAGCGAACGGGGAGCAGCCCAGAGUCUGAAUCAGCUUGUGUGUUAGUGGAACGGUCUGGAAAGUCCGACGGUACAGGGUGAUAGUCCCGUACACCAAAAUGCACAGGCUGUGAACUCGAAGAGUAGGGCGGGACACGUGGUAUCCUGUCUGAAUAUGGGGGGACCAUCCUCCAAGGCUAAAUACUCCUGACUGACCGAUAGUGAACCAGUACCGUGAGGGAAAGGCGAAAAGAACCCCGGCGAGGGGAGUGAAAAAGAACCUGAAACCGUGUACGUACAAGCAGUGGGAGCACCUUCGGGUGUGACUGCGUACCUUUUGUAUAAUGGGUCAGCGACUUAUAUUCUGUAGCAAGGUUAACCGUAUAGGGGAGCCGCAGGGAAACCGAGUCUUAACUGGGCGUUAAGUUGCAGGGUAUAGACCCGAAACCCGGUGAUCUAGCCAUGGGCAGGUUGAAGGUUGGGUAACACUAACUGGAGGACCGAACCGACUAAUGUUGAAAAAUUAGCGGAUGACUUGUGGCUGGGGGUGAAAGGCCAAUCAAACCGGGAGAUAGCUGGUUCUCCCCGAAAGCUAUUUAGGUAGCGCCUCGUGAAUUCAUCUUCGGGGGUAGAGCACUGUUUCGGCUAGGGGGUCAUCCCGACUUACCAACCCGAUGCAAACUACGAAUACCGAAGAAUGUUAUCACGGGAGACACACGGCGGGUGCUAACGUCCGUCGUGAAGAGGGAAACAACCCAGACCGCCAGCUAAGGUCCCAAAGUCAUGGUUAAGUGGGAAACGAUGUGGGAAGGCACAGACAGCCAGGAUGUUGGCUUAGAAGCAGCCAUCAUUUAAAGAAAGCGUAAUAGCUCACUGGUCGAGUCGGCCUGCGCGGAAGAUGUAACGGGGCUAAACCAUGCACCGAAGCUGCGGCAGCGACACUAUGUGUUGUUGGGUAGGGGAGCGUUCUGUAAGCCUGCGAAGGUGUGCUGUGAGGCAUGCUGGAGGUAUCAGAAGUGCGAAUGCUGACAUAAGUAACGAUAAAGCGGGUGAAAAGCCCGCUCGCCGGAAGACCAAGGGUUCCUGUCCAACGUUAAUCGGGGCAGGGUGAGUCGACCCCUAAGGCGAGGCCGAAAGGCGUAGUCGAUGGGAAACAGGUUAAUAUUCCUGUACUUGGUGUUACUGCGAAGGGGGGACGGAGAAGGCUAUGUUAGCCGGGCGACGGUUGUCCCGGUUUAAGCAUGUAGGCUGAUUGUCCAGGCAAAUCCGGAUAAUCAAGGCUGAGGUGUGAUGACGAGGCACUACGGUGCUGAAGUAACAAAUGCCCUGCUUCCAGGAAAAGCCUCUAAGCAUCAGGUAACAUCAAAUCGUACCCCAAACCGACACAGGUGGUCAGGUAGAGAAUACCAAGGCGCUUGAGAGAACUCGGGUGAAGGAACUAGGCAAAAUGGUGCCGUAACUUCGGGAGAAGGCACGCUGGUGUGUAGGUGAAGUCCCUGCGGAUGGAGCUGAGACCAGUCGAAGAUACCAGCUGGCUGCAACUGUUUAUUAAAAACACAGCACUGUGCAAACACGAAAGUGGACGUAUACGGUGUGACGCCUGCCCGGUGCCGGAAGGUUAAUUGAUGGGGUUAUCCGUAAGGAGAAGCUCUUGAUCGAAGCCCCGGUAAACGGCGGCCGUAACUAUAACGGUCCUAAGGUAGCGAAAUUCCUUGUCGGGUAAGUUCCGACCUGCACGAAUGGCGUAAUGAUGGCCAGGCUGUCUCCACCCGAGACUCAGUGAAAUUGAACUCGCUGUGAAGAUGCAGUGUACCCGCGGCAAGACGGAAAGACCCCGUGAACCUUUACUAUAGCUUGACACUGAACAUUGAGCCUUGAUGUGUAGGAUAGGUGGGAGGCUUUGAAGCGUGGACGCCAGUCUGCGUGGAGCCAACCUUGAAAUACCACCCUUUAAUGUUUGAUGUUCUAACGUUGGCCCCUGACCGGGGUUGCGGACAGUGUCUGGUGGGUAGUUUGACUGGGGCGGUCUCCUCCCAAAGCGUAACGGAGGAGCACGAAGGUUAGCUAAUCCUGGUCGGACAUCAGGAGGUUAGUGCAAUGGCAUAAGCUAGCUUGACUGCGAGCGUGACGGCGCGAGCAGGUGCGAAAGCAGGUCAUAGUGAUCCGGUGGUUCUGAAUGGAAGGGCCAUCGCUCAACGGAUAAAAGGUACUCCGGGGAUAACAGGCUGAUACCGCCCAAGAGUUCAUAUCGACGGCGGUGUUUGGCACCUCGAUGUCGGCUCAUCACAUCCUGGGGCUGAAGUAGGUCCCAAGGGUAUGGCUGUUCGCCAUUUAAAGUGGUACGCGAGCUGGGUUUAGAACGUCGUGAGACAGUUCGGUCCCUAUCUGCCGUGGGCGCUGGAGAAUUGAGGGGGGCUGCUCCUAGUACGAGAGGACCGGAGUGGACGCAUCACUGGUGUUCGGGUUGUCAUGCCAAUGGCACUGCCCGGUAGCUAAAUGCGGAAGAGAUAAGUGCUGAAAGCAUCUAAGCACGAAACUUGCCCCGAGAUGAGUUCUCCCUGAGACUUUAAGUCUCCUGAAGGAACGUUAAAGACGAUGACGUUGAUAGGCCGGGUGUGUAAGCGCAGCGAUGCGUUGAGCUAACCGGUACUAAUGAACCGUGAGGCUUAACCUU